rnacentral:lncRNA from 1 species
CGCCUCCUGCCUUUCAUGGCACAACCGCUGUAGAUAGGACACAAUUCACCACACUGAAGGGCCUACUUGUACAAAAUAAACUUGGUAUCGAUGGCACAGCUCCUAACUUACGGGUUCAAGCCCAUCGCUAGAAAAAUGCUCCCAAAGUAAAUAAGUACAUAUAAAUGUACAUAAAGCCUUUCUUAGAGAAGGUUACUCGCUCCACCAGAUCAGGAGUAAUAAUAGGCAGGUCGUGGCAAUCACAGUCCCCCUUCACAGCAGGAAUGCCGGAAAGGCGGAUAGAAGAAUGGUAUUAGCCAACAACCUAAGUGCGAAAAUAUGAAGAAGGGAACUUCUCUUCGAAGUCCUUGGCUAUGUUGAGAUGUUUGGGGAUGAUGAUGCUCACCGUAGAAGGGCCAGUAUCAACGUUAAUUUCUUUGUCUUUGUUCUCCUUUGGAUCCCACCGAAGAGAAGACUAGAGUUCUGGUAAGAGUUGGUGAAAGAAACCAUGAUCAACAGAAGAUGAUAAGAGUCAUUUGAAGAAGAUUAAUGGAGGAUUAAAGUAGAAAAGUGUUGGAUGCAAAGAAGUUGAGAGAGUU